CUUCUGAGGGCGGUGGUGGGAAGCAAGAAAGCAAAAAUUACUUGAGGUUGAGGUGGAGACCCUGCUGCUCCUGUCCUCGUUGGCUUUGCUCAGCUGCUUGCUAAGGUGCCCUAGGUCAAUCUGUGUCUCCAGAGAAGGAACAGGCCUCAGGGUUGGCAAGGGAGAGAUCAUGAGAUCAACCCCGCCAGGACCCCAGGUUGCGUGGCAAAGCUCUGGAGAGCAUGAAGUUAGCUCUCCCAGCCAGGCUACCAGGGUCUAGCACCCAGGUGGGGCUGGUUCGAGCCAGUCUGAGAUCUGUCCUAGGUACCGCCUGGAGGUCUCGGGCUCCCCCAUACCCUCUUCUGAAUGUGGCUGGGCUUCACUCUGUCCCUCAUGCACUCUCCUGGCUCUGCUCCUACUUUAACCCCUCAAAUUCCUUCUUGGUCUGACUUCCCCUUAGCUCUAGGGGAGCCUCCCUGUCCCUAUAGUAACACAUUAUUUCUUCAAGUGGGUUACACAAAAGCCUAGUUCAGCAGGAGUGGUGAAGAUGAAAUUCCCAUGGCCAAAGCCGUGUGUGGAACUGUCACACUGACCCCCCUCUCCAGGCAGGUGGAUGUCACCAGGUAGUCAGGCAUCCAGGCACCUGUUCCCUGUAUCUCCUAGAGUUGUGUAUACUCAGACAUCUGCCCCUGGUGCCGGGUCUCCUGCAGAUCUGCCUGUGCUACUCUCCUGGGUAUGGCUUUGUUUUAAACACUGGGGAAUGAACCCAGGGUCUCAGGCAUGCUAGGCAAAUGCCCUCAGUAACUGCACCCUGAUCUUUUUUGAGACAGGAUUUUACUACACUGUGACUUUAGGAUCCUGUUGGAAGUCUUCCCAAGGCACAGGGAAAAGGGCGCCUCAGGAAGAGCUCAGGAAGGGGUCAGGUGUGCGAAGCUGGGCUACUUGGCACCUCUUUGGCUUCCUUCAACUCCUUCUAGUGCCUCUACUCAGGCUGCUAUGUCUACUGGGGUCCCCUUCUGUCCUGGGGACAGCCCACACCUGGCCAGUGAAGGACAUUCUGCCUAUUGGGUGACUCUGCUCAGAGGGCAGCUCCGGGUCCACUCACCCUUUUGGGAGAACAAGAAAAAAGCAGGGAUAGAGAAGAAAGAAUUGCCAAUCCAGGAAUGCCCUUGGGAGGGUCACUGGGAACCUUGCUGUCCUCCUAGGAGGCUGAGACAGUGCAGGGGUGAGAGGAGCAGAGGCCAAGGAUGGCAUCAGAAAGAGGAAGGCGGGACUGGGAGGGGCAGGGUGAGGUGCUGGGGCUGGAAGCUCCUUGAGAGCACAAAGUAGGAGGCUUGCUCUCAGCAGCCUGCUUCUCCCAACUCCCGGCCUGACAAUCACCCCCAGGCUCCUCAGCAGGACCCAGUCUGCAGUCUGCUGCGGCUACGGUUAUGGGGGUUCGUCUGUUCAUUCUUCUCUGGAUUGCUAAGGUACUGUCUUCAGCCCUGUUCUGGGCUGGGACAGUGGCUUGCUUUUGGAGGCAGCUGUCCUGCCAGACUUCAGGAUAGAACAGAAGGGCCAUCAGCCCCGCCCGAAAUGCUGCCAAAAACCAAAAGCUAUUUUUAAAAGCCUGUGGUUCAUGCAGGAAGCCAUCGUUACACUUUUCCUAGGCAAGGUUGCUCUUGCGGAAGAAAACGACAGUCCUCCCUGGAGGAAGAUCAGAGGGCCCUGCCUCCUGGCCCAGAAUAGCGCCUGGACCAUCCCGUGUGGGCACAGCCAGGCGUGCCCACAGGGAGGUCUCAGGGGGCAUUCGGAGAACAGAGUCCCACCAGCAUGGGAUUCCAGCUUACUCUGACCUCUGGGGUGGCAUGGGCAGAACCAUGGAUAUUGGUUCUGGCCGGAAAAGCUGAAUCACUCCUGCCGAAGUUCCUGGGGAUCUGGGCCUUGGCGACCAUAUUCUCUGGAAGUUUCUGGGCACUGGUAAGUGUGCUGUCCGGCCUCACUCGCUGUGGGGGUUCCAAGGAAAGAGAAUUGAGGGCCCUGGUCCUUAGCAUGGCUGGGUAGUCAGGUCGCCUCUUUCCACUUUCUCUUUGGGCACUCAACUUUCUGCUCUGGUCAGCUUGCACGAUAGAAGUGUGGACAUGGCCACAUGGGGCUCAGCUCUCCCAGGUCAUGGGAGAGGUGAGGGAUGAGCAGGGACAGACCCUCCACUGGACAAGGGCCACAGUCCCUAUGGGGUUUGGGGAGGUCUGGAUGCAGCAUGCCCAGGGUGCAGGGGCCUCCAUGGCAGCUGAAUGGCCCAGGUGGGCCUGGGUCUUGGGGCACACGGUGAGAGAAGGAAGCUGUGCGCUCAGGGCUCUCGGGGCCUCUGGGAAGCCCUGGUGUCUGCCUGGGGAGGACCGGCCAGGGCUGUGGGCAGGCGGCCUAGCCUGGUCUCCAAACCACAGCACUUCCUCUUUCCAAACACUUUCCCCUCUGUCAGCAGUCUCUCUGUUCCUUCCCUGGCUUCCAUAACUCACCCUCCCCCAGAGAAGAGAGACAGACAGAGAGAUAGACACACACAGACCAUAUGACAAAGGCCGAGGUGGCUGGGGCACCGGCACUGGGGUGGAGGCUCCGGAAAGCACUGCCAUCUCCUGUCAGGUCAGUUGGUGACCCGCUGCCUACUGCCCCAGCUCUGUGUCAGCAGUGUGGUGCUUCAGCCAGCUCUUCGCAUGCUGUCCCUAGCUGCCCGACUUCACGUGGCCUCUAGGGCCAAUGCUGGGAAAUCAUGCUCCUGGGUCUCUUACUCAACAGAGAGAAAGGAGUGGACAUCCUGGGCUUGGAUGUCCUCUUGUCUGGGUGACUGCAGAGCUGUGCAUGGAGGUGGGGCUAUGUCUGGGAAAACACUGCCUGUGUGUAUGGGGCACGCGGGACAGUGUGUGUGGACUUGUGAGUGUUGCUGCGGAAGUCUACACACUGUGUGUCUGUGCUUGAGGCAGUGGUUGAAAAUGGGCUCAGCAGGUAGGACAGGACAAACCUGAGUCUCUCCUGUGCAAAUCCAGGCCUCCUCCUUCCCAGCCUGGCCCUGCCUCCCAACAGCACUGCUCUUCCCUUCUGGCUUUAGGAUGGCCUUUGCUUUACAUUUGGCCUGCUGCCCUUCAUAGUUGGCCCUCUGCCCUGCAGGACAAGCUGGGCUUCUCCUGGCCAGAACUGAGCCUGUGGCCACCCAGGAGUUCUAGUUUCUGCUGCCGCAGGCCUGAAAUGUGUUCUCACUGUCAUCUGGAAACAAACGGGGGUGAGCAGCAUCUCUGUGUUCCAGGAAGGCCGGACCCUCGUGGGGUUGUCAAGCUGGUUCCAACUGUGUUCUCACCACAAGGAGCUCUCGUGGGACAGGGGAAACUGGUCACCCACUGGUCCACGACAGGGGUGCCGCAGAUGUUUCCAGGGGCAUCUCGCAGCCUCCUGUCUCUCACCCUGCAAGUUCCUGGAUGUUGGGAAGCUCUAGGCCAGCAAGACCUCUGCUCCAGCAUUGGCCUGCGGCCUCCCUGGAAUCCUCUCAGUUCAGCCCUUCUGUAAGUUCUGAAGGCCAGCGCUGUAGCAGGGCCUGAGCCCUUAUCAAUGCAGGUUGGGACUAUGUUCCAGUGCCAGGCUGGGGCUGGCCUCCAGGUUUUAUCUGGCUGGGGCUGCCCUUCCUGGUCUGAGUGCAGCUGGCUGAGGGAGGACAGUGUGGGUGGUUCCUUCUUUUUACUCAAUUCUCAAGCAGCUGCCAGGAUGGAGUAGGAUGCUGACAGAGACAGAGGUUUUGUAGUGAUCUGUAGUGUCCAGAGCAAAGGUGACCUACCUUAGAGACCACAAGGUUGCCCUGCUUCCCUGUCCUCAGGACCAUCUUCCUUUCUGGUGGACCCGCAAUUGUGUCCUAAGGCCCAAGACCUCUACUCCCAGGACAUUAGUGAGCUAGAGCCGCCCUGGUGCCACCCCAAGUCCCAAGCAAGGCCCCUGCCCCAGGCCCAGUGGCAGCAGGUGAUAGGAAAGCCUGGCUGUGAGCCUUGGUGAGUCUGGAGGCCCCAGGCAGAGCGGGCAGAGAGCAGAGGGAGCUGUUAGUAGGAGAUGGGCAGCAGUGGUGGGGCAAGAAGCAGGUGGCCACGGUCACCUCGGCUGUGCUGCCUGUUGACCAUUCCGCCCAGGGUCCAUCGGCGAUCCAGGCGCCGCUGAUAGGCCUUGCGUCUCUUGGACACUGGCGUGGGAGGUGGUUGAUGGUGCACGCAGCCGACAUGAACCGGCGGAGAAAAUGGAGAUGAGGAUGAGAUGGGGGCGAAUGGAGGAAGGGGGAGAUGGGAAGGGAACUGUCCACUGCCCAGCAGCCAGUCCGGCUGAGUGGCACAUCCAGUGGGAUGGGCACAGGUGAUCAGCAUGUGGGAAAAAUUCAAACUUCAGCUUACAGCCCACAUCUAGAAGGGAGCUAAAGAGUUCAGGAUGUCAGUACCUUAGGAACAGGAAGGGUCCUCACGGCAGCCCUAACCCUGGCUGUAGCCACAGCCCUGCAGGGUGGAAGGGUCACUACUUCCCCAGGUCCGGGAUGAUGCCCAUCUGCAGAAGUGCCUGGAGCCCCAGGCAGCCAGGCUGGCAUCCACUCGCUCACUCAUGCGUGUGAAUUCGCCACCAUGGGCCAGGCAUCACACGGGCAAGAACGCAUGUGUCCAGGAGAACCCCGGGCCCCUCCUCACUGGCCCACAGCUUUGCUUUCCCACCUGUCCCCACUCGGGAAUGCCACCUGUGGGGGAUCAGGACUUUGCCUGCUGUCUCUGUAUCCCCAGUGCGUGGCACUGGCCAAGGGCAGGGCUGCUGGGUGAAAUAUACACAGGCGGAUGGCACAGCCACCCUGCGUUCCUGCCUGCCGUCUCCGACAGCAGAGGCCAUGCUGUCAGCUGCUCGGUUCCUGAGACCCCCUUGCUUUGACUGUGCUCCCUAGGCAGGCCCUGCACUGGUCCACUGGUUGCCACAAGCCCCUGAGGGCCCCUGUGCCUAGGUGCUAGCAUGGGAUGACCUGUUGUCCUCCAGGAUUCUCAGGGAGAAAGGACACUGAACUCUGAGGUGCCAGCUGGUCCCACCUCUGGGCACCAUAGAAGGAGGCUGCCCAGCUGUCCCAGCCUGGAAGAGGGAGAGGCUGGUGGUUAGAACGAAAAGUGAAACUGUCCAGGCAAACUUGGACCAACCCCACAAAGCCUUCUGGGAAGUCUGCUCUCUCAGAGAGGAUGGUGGCCUGUGUGACCUGUCCAUUCUGAGAGGCGACCUGGACAACAGGCCAGGAGGUGUAAUACUAGACCAGCCCACUGCCAGAACACCCUGAGAAGCCUGUGACCUCAUCUGUCAUAGAGUGACACUUCUUUCCCUGGUAUGGGCCAACACAAGGGGCUGAAAGGAUCUGGGGACACUGAUUAGGGUGAGGCCUCCUAGGUGAGGCUGGGUGAUGCGGGGAGCAGGGGGAGGGUAACUCCCCUCAUGGUAACCCUCCUAGUAACUGACCUUUACCCCCUACCUACCUGGUUUAGUGUGAACCAUUUACAAACAUCUCACCCGAGCUUCCUGGAAGGCCUUUGUGACUGCCCUAGUCCCAUCACACAGAUGGGGAAACAGAGGCCUGGGGUGCCAAGAAACCCUCUGAAUCACAUCAACCAGGAGGCUGUAGGUGUGGAGAACAGAGGACACAGCACAGUGGCCUGUGCCUUGGCUCUGGGAGGCCCACCCUGAGCCCUCCUGUAGAUCUGCACAGGAGAAACCUAGGAAGAGGCAGUGGAAUCACAAGCGGCCACAGAAGCUGGCACACAGGCCCUGUCAGAAUCCCUGGAAGAGGAGUCCCUGGAGGAUGUGUACAUGUGCGUGUGUACACUUUCCGAGCAGAGGACUCUGCGCUGGCUCUGCCUGAUUUGUACAAUAUUGAGGUCAAGGUCCUCCACACCUUGCUGCCGCCCAUAUGUCUUAGCUUCAGGGCCACAGCCUGCGCCAUCUGCGUGACCCCUCUGCCCUGUCCUGCCCUUCCUGGUGCAGCCUUUGCAGCCACACGUUCUCCUAGAGUGAGUCCUCAUGUGACCCCUCUUGCUGAUGAGCCGGUGCUUUGGAAGGUGUGGAGGCCCAGGGCCCAAGCUGGAUAGAACAGGCACUGCCUGUUUGGAAGCCUCAGGCCCUGCAGCUAGAAAUGCAGGGACUAAAACUGUCCUCCCAGGGGGCCAAGAGGGGAUCUAGAGCCCUGAUCCAGCACCUCUGAACGUGAACUCAGAUAGAUGAGACUCUAGGACUGCAGGGAAACUAGAGCAGGCCAGCUCAGGGCCACAGCUAUCCACUGUGGCAGGGGUGUGGUGGGAACAGGGUGGGGCUCAGGGAAGACACUGGGAGCCCUUCCAGUGAAGCCCAGUCCUGGGAGACCUAUAACAGGUAACUUGCACUGCAGAGGCCUGGCUUGGAUCAGGGCUGAAACAAAACGCUGACCCAGGAGGAUAGGCAGGGCCGAGGCCCCAGCCAGAGAGCCAGCAUACAAGGAGCUGCUUAUUUUGGACUGGGCAGCAAGAGAGGGACAGAGGAGCAGCCUGGAGGAGGUCUGAGCUCUGGUGGCAGGCCUCCAUCCUGCCAUCCAUCCCUCAGACGCACCCACCUGAACCGUCCCUGCUGGCCAUUAGGGGACGAGUCCCUGCUGCCAGGCCCUAGGAGGUUCAAAGGCCUUAGGAGCAUGUAGCUGGGAACCCGCAUGGCUCAGCCUCCUGGGCACAGGCAGCCUUGCUGGGGUAGGGUCUACAGACUGCACUAGCCUGGGGAGAAGGACCCAGGAGCACCUCACAGAGCCGGGGCUACAUGAGGGCUGAGAACUGGGUAGGGCCUGGGCCAAUCUCAGUCUCUGAGCCCUGCCUCAGUGGGUCCCUGAGAGGAGCCCAAGACUUCCAGGGAGGAGUGUUCCAGGAGUCCAGGCCUAACACUGUGUUCUCCACCCUGUCUCCCAGGUGCCAAAGUCAAUGGUCCACACCGCAAGAGAAUUUCCUUGGUUGUUAGCCCCAUGUUGGAGCCAGCAACGGUAGGCGUGAGGAGUUGGUGGGCCAGCCUCAGUGAGGUAGGGUCCCAAAGGAAGGGGUGACCCAGCUCACCCUGGAGGGUCAGGUGUUUUUGAAGAAGAAGAGUGGGAGCACUGCCUCAGGAAGGGGUGGAGCCCACCCCAGCUUUCCUACCCCACUCCUACUCUGAAGGCCCUUACCUUCCCCGGCCUUGGGGGUGUUGAUGUCUGAGUCAUCCCGAGUGCCGUUCUGGGCCUCCAGGUAGGUGGCAGGGACCCAGCCCUGCUCCUCAGAGGUGCUCACGAACCACCAGCCUGCAGAGGGGACAAAAGAAGACAGGCCCUAAGAGAGUGCAGGAUGCUGGAGGACAAGGAGACAAGCGGGGCCCAGGGACAGGGUAUGGUGCCAGGUUGCAUGGAUGCCUGGCACAUACCCAGCUCACGCACGGCCAGCCUUGGGAGCCUGCGUCCAGCCUCGGGCAGGAAAGGCCAACACAUGCCCAAGAAGAGGGCCUCACCAGCUGCCCUUCGUUCUGACACGUUCCAUGAAAAAAGAAGUGGGAACAAUGGUACAUCCUACAAGUGAAAAGCCACACCUUGUGCAGGCCACCCAGGGCCUGUCAGCCUGCCAGGUUCCCUGGUGUGGCCGCUGUGGCUCUCCCAGGUGCCCAGACCCAGGUCAGCAUAGUCCUCCUCAGCUGAUCCUGGCUGCCCCUGAAGGGUGGUGCCAUUUCCAUGACAGUAUGUGGACACUGACUCUGGGGGCAGACACCUGCCCUCAAUCAACUUUUGGGUGGCUCAUAUUCCUAGGAACUGACAAGGUCAGAAUGCACAUUAAGCACCCUUUGGGAUUAGCACUAUCAUGGCUUAAUUUGGGCCAAGGUCAGGCUAGAGGAGGUGGUCCUGGGCCCCUAGGAGCUCCCACUGACCUCUGCCUGUGCUCAAGAGCUUUGACAUUCAGACUGACAGAAGAGGCCAUUCCUGACGCUGCCAGCCACUGGGCAGAAGGCCACAGGACCACUGCUCACUGAUGUCAAAGGAGGUCUCGCUGCCCCUCUCUCUUUAACCAAGAGGACCCUGAGUGCCACAAAUCGCUCAAGGGGUACUAAGGCUCUGUCUGUGAUGGUAUGGGUGGCAGUUUCUCUGCCAUUCUCUGUGGAGAUGGCUAGCAAAAGCAGAAGCCAAGGCUGCCUAGGAAAGGAAGAGCAAUGAAGGGUGGCAGGGAGCAUUGUGGCUGCUCCUACGCACUUGGCUUGGGGUGCCCCCCCCCACUCUGCCCCCGGCUGGAAUUAGGCCAGGGAAAUACUAUGCAAGCUGUGUGGGUCACCUUCAUCCCUUCCUGUGACCCACAGCCUUUGCAUCCUCUGACCCUGUCACACCUGGGGCCAUGGAGAGGGCGGAUGAGCUCCCUGCCAUCUUCCCUGAAGCCCAGGUCCUGUGCCUUGGUUGCUGGAGCCCCCAAGGCAGCCAGAGGGCAAUGGACUUUGCAAGGGAAUCUACUUGGGUGCCUCCUCCCUCAGCCUCUGGAGGAGCAUUCCCAGGAACUCUAGCAGUCUCUGCCAGGAGGUACAAUCCCAGCUGUUCCUUCAGACUCAUGGCACAAAAUGCCCCAACUCACUGGACUUGCACCACAGGCCCCAGCUUCCUUGAACACGAAGUGGGCACACCUAGCCAACAUCUCCUGCUGGACCUGUCACUUUGGAUGCUGCAGUGCCCUGGGGACAGGAAUUUACCUAUGGCGCCAAAUCAAGACCAAUGGGCUACCCGUGCAUCUUUGAUGCCCCUUUAGGUUCCACCCCAAACCGAGGCUACUUACAUAACCGCCACGCCACGUGUCCGCCAGAGAGAAAGCCGGACUCCAGCGGUCAGGGGGUUUUGGUUUUCUCUCUCCAUGUUCUCAGAAUAAAGGCCUCUUUUGUUUUAUA